CGAUUGGUACUGAUGCUGGCUCUUCACAGAGCAUGUGCUCGUCCAUCUAUUUAUCUUCUCUUGUGCACAUCUUGUAGUCUUGAACGAAUUUUUCGCAGUCAAAUGCGGUUUGGGAGACUGGGUGCAAGCCCUUUUCCUGGUUCUUCAAGGCUAUGUUUUCAUAUACACUAUAAAGUUACAGAAUGUCUUUUAAAGAUUGUGCUUGUCGCAGUCAUUAAACCUAUACAACUUUCAGCAACGGAUCUCUUGGCUCUCCUAUCGAUGAAGAACGCAGCGAAAUGCGAUAAGUAAUGUGAAUUGCAGAAUUCAGUGAAUCAUCGAAUCUUUGAACGCACCUUGACGCCCUUUGGUAUUCCGAAGGGCAUGCCUGUUUGAGUGUCAUUAAAUUAUCAACCUUGCUCGCUUUUACCGGCUUGAGUGAGGCUUGGACGUGAGGGCUUUGCUGGCUUCCUUCAGUGGAUAGGUCUGCUCCCUUUAAAUGCAUUAGUGGGAUCUCUUGUGGACCGUCACUUGGUGUGAUAAUCAUCUAUGCCAGUUGACUUUGAAGCAAACUAAUGGGAACCUGCUUAUAACCGUCUUCGGACAACUUUUGACAUUUUGACCUCAAAUCAGGUAGGACUACCCGCUGAACUUAAGCAUAUCAAUAAGCGGAGGAAAAGAAACUAAUCAAGGAUUCCCCUAGUAACUGCGAGUGAAGCGGGAAAAGCUCAAAUUUAAAAUCUGGCGGUUCUU
rnacentral:rRNA from 1 species